rnacentral:RNase_P_RNA from 1 species
UAGACAAACGCUGGAGUCUAUGAACUCUUGAGGAAAGUCCAUGCUCACACAAACUGAGAUGUUUGUAGUGUUCGUGCCUAGGGAACAAAUAACCUAGGGUAGGUUAUACUAACGGAGGAAGAUGUUCUAAGUCUUAGGAUAUGAACUAUUCUGUAAAUGUGCCGCAGUGACGAUGCUCUUAGAAAUGAGAGAGUGAAACGUGGUAAACCCCGCGAGUGAGAAACCCAAAUUUGGUAGGGGAGCUUUAACGAAAGAAAUGAAUGGAGUUAAAGACCAGAAAUGGUAGAUAAAUGUUUGUCGCCUUUUUAAGGUACAGAACAUGGCUUAUU